AUGUGGAAGAUAUUGUUGUUUUUUUAGGUGGAAGUCACUUUUAAAGAAAAAAAAUCAGUUUUCAAAAUUAAUAAUAUCGAUAAGCUUACUCCAGCAGAAACCAGUUCCAAGCGUUAAAAACAUUUUACAAUUAAGGGGGUUUUUCUUUGGAAAAAUUAUUAUCUUUUACAAAGUUAUAAAAUUAAAUGCUGAAGAGUUCUGUGGAAUGAUAAGAGGUGUUUCGGUCUACCGUAACAUCCAGAGAUGAUUUCAAGGAUGCUCGAGGGGAGGAAAACUUAAACUGCCAAAUUUUCCAGAAGAAAUUCUGAGUUGAAGCAUUUUUCGAAAUGUCUUCUUUAAAUAGAUAUCUAAUGCAAAGCUUUUAGGAGUACUAAUGUAAUUCUGACAUUGACAUUUUGGCAUGGAAUGUAAAAUUACACUUUCAGUCCCUUUGCUCUUCAUCCUCCGCGUUAAACUUCUGGUGUGUGUAAGGUAGCAGAUGGACCUGUUGAGAUAUCCAAUAUGUCUUAAAAAGUGGCGAAUUAAUGUUUACUUAAAUCGGGUUAACAUUUCAUAAAAUCCGAACUGACAAUGUGGAUCAAGUAAUCAGCACAGCAUUUAACAAUUCAUUGUUAUUCUCUCAUGAUCUCAAUCUAAUUUAGAUAAUUGUAAAUAGAAUAUUGCCUGAAAAAAAAAUUCCUUGUUGGUUCUAGUUUAAAUUAUGUAUAUCAUCCCCUUAGUGUCAUCCUGUGAUUUUAUUUACUUUGUUCACUGAGGGAGGGAAGGCAUACCACACCUGUUUUUCGUCCGCGCCGCAUCAAACAAUUCACUGAAUUUUUUUUUGCAUAGUAUUUUUAUUAAUAAGAAAACAUCUGGAAAAAAUAUCUAGAAAACUAGAAAUGUUAAGUUUAGUUGUAGAUACUAAGAAACGGGUGUUGUGGCCUUCCCUCUCGUUUUUGUAAUACUGUUAUAUUUUUCAGUCUUUAUAUAUUUCGUAUAUCGGUAAUACUCUUUGUUUAUCGUUAAUGUUAUGUUUAUCUAGUCAUGUCCAGUACCUAUAAAUAUAUAUGUAUAUGUUCUAAUUUGUAUUUAAUAAUGAUUUAUCAUUCAAGUUGCAUUUAUAUUAUUAUUAUUAUUAUUAAAUGCCUCUGAUAAAGUACAGGAGUAGGUUUAUAGAAUGUAUAAUCCAAUUUAAAAGUGAAGAGGAUUUGGAUUUUAAAAAUAUCAGAAUUUCUUCUUAAGUAGAAAUUGAAUCCAGUAGAAUUUUACUUCUUUUUUAUUAUUGAGAUAGAAACGGGAUACCGCUUGGGCACAUCGGCCGAAUUGAAUAUCCAUUGAUAACUUUGUAAUUGAAGAAUAUGAUUCAUAGAAGGUGUCGAGGGGCGUGUUAUAAACAGAUUUAAUACAAAAGUUAUGAUCUCAUAAAUUUUAAUUUUGAACAUUUUUAUGAUCAACUAGAGAUAUGUCUUUAAUAAAGUUAUAUGAAAAUUCUACCGCAGUAUUUUAUUGGCUAAUCGUUUUUCUGAUUUUGUGUUUAACUACGAUAAGGUAAACUUGCGACAAUGGCACAAAUUACGGAUAUAGUUUAGGUGAGGGUUAAUGAAUUUCUGGGCCGAGCGGCGCAGCAGUUACAUUAUUUAUUACAUAUUCUUAGUUUGUCGAGUUAUUGUCUAGCGAUAUUUGAUUACGGCUGACGAUUUGAAAAGAUCAAAAGUUUCCAGUAAAUCAUUUGGAUGAACUUAUAAUCUAAACUCUUAGUUGGUUUCGUUGGAUAAUUGAGUAAGAGUAUUGAGUAUCCAUCUAAUUUGCUUUAAAAAUUGGAUAUUAAACAACUAACAUUAAAAAACGUAUACUAAUGAUCUGAUAAUUUAUCUCAGAAAAAUGUCAUAAUAUUUAAUUAUUUCA
rnacentral:lncRNA from 1 species